GAAUUUUCCCUCCUUUCUUGACAGUUUUGCCACUUUUUAUCUCACGUAAGAACCUUAAUUAAUUAAAAGAUAUUAAUUGGUCAAACGGACCACGAAAACAAGUGAGUUAUUUAUAUUUUUCACAGAGAGAAAAAAAUUAUCACGAUAAAAAUCACAAGGGUACAAUUACAAGUCAGUCCGAGAAACGGUAUACUUAGAACAGUGCAUACAUGGUAAUUUUUAAGAUGAAUUUUCAUUUCAUUCCAAUGAUAUAGACAAUUCGUGUGUUAUAUGUUGAUACCAAACGGUACAAAAAGUACAAAUGGGCAAUACUUUAGUCUUAAUUUCAAUCGGAACGAGAUCAGAUUUCUCACUUAACGAACCAUCCUUGAAAUAUCCCCACUAUCUUCCAUUCGACAAUUGGGAGUGGCCAGUGCUCAGUGUUAGCUGGUUGAAAUACGAAGGUUUUCGGCCUGCAUGGAAUUUCAGUGCGACUUUACAUCAAAAACAAUUUCAGGCUGAGUAAUUAUUUGAGAAAACCAGGGGUCUACCAGUAAGAUGAAACUAUAUCUAACAUUUUCAUGAACGGAUUUUCACAUCGUUUUUCCCAUUUAUCAUAAAUCCGAAUAAACUUUAUGAAUUCGCACAAUCAAUUGUAAAAAUUUCAUUUUUUGACUUUUUAAAAACAACCGUAAAAUUCCAUUUCGGGAUGUUCAAAAGCCGAGCUUGUGAAAUAAAAACAGAUUGAGCCAUUGUUAAGAAUACCAUGUGGUCCAAUACUAUCUAAAGUUUUUAUGAUUCCAUUUUCAAAUGGUUUACGACAUUUUUCAUAAAAAUAAUUGUACUUUCUAUGUCAAGGAGUUUUUGAAUAAUCCAGUGGUGCCACUAGAUACAUCACAACCUGCAUAGUAUAGAAAAUAAGAUUUAGAUAAAUUUUAACAAUUCGUCUAAUUUGUUGAAACUUUUUUUAAUUAGGAAAGGACGUUGUACAGUAU